rnacentral:rRNA from 1 species
AACGAACGCUGGCGGCAGGCUUAACACAUGCAAGUCGAGCGCCCCGCAAGGGGAGCGGCAGACGGGUGAGUAACACGUGGGAAUCUACCCAUCCCUACGGAACAACUCCGGGAAACUGGAGCUAAUACCGUAUACGCCCUUCGGGGGAAAGAUUUAUCGGGGAUGGAUGAGCCCGCGUUGGAUUAGCUAGUUGGUGGGGUAAAGGCCUACCAAGGCGACGAUCCAUAGCUGGUCUGAGAGGAUGAUCAGCCACAUUGGGACUGAGACACGGCCAAAACUCCUAGGGGGGGCACCAGUGGGGAAUAUUGGACAAUGGCCGCAAGCUUGACCCACCCAGGCCGCGUGAGUGAUGAGGGCCUUAGGGUUGUAAAGCUCUUUCACCGAUGAAGAUAAUGACGGUAGUCGGAAAAGAAGCCCCGCCUAACUUCGUGCCAGCCGCCGCCGUAA